AUGUAAAACAGCCAGCCAGGAAAGGAGCUUUUACCGUUACCCAACAGUGUUAAUAAAAACUCUUCUUCAGUAACAACCUGAAGCUGCACUAAAAGAAGAUUUAAACUUAAAGUUUUUAGCUUGUGCCUUUCAGGAAGCAGCUGCAGAGCCGGAGUAUCCACCGUCCCACUGAGCAUCCAGAGCAUCACAACGCAAAGAGAAAUACAAGAUGGCUGCUCUUAGAUUUGAAUACCCUGAAAGAUGUACUAGUGAUGCAAAAAAGAAAAAGUCCCGAGAAAAAGAACUGCAUGGCCACAAAGACACUCUCUAUUAUGAUAAAACGGCUGGAGAGAUAGAAACCAACCUGGUUUUCUACAGCACAAAUGUAGAAAUGAGUGUGCCGUCUUGUGAUUGGCUGUAUGUGAACAAGGCAGAGAGUAUAAAUGAAGAUGAAGUUGCCCCAGAGGUUUAUUCUCGUGCACAGACUUCAAAUCAGCCGACACCCGUUAACGCUGAACAUCACCGACGGCCGGAGUCGCCACAGAUACAGAAGCAGCUGCAGAGCCGGAGUAUCCACCGUCCCACUGAGCAUCCAGAGCAUCACAACGCAAAGAGAAAUACAAGAUGGCUGCUCGUAGAUUUGAAUACCCUGAAGAAUGUACUAAUGAUGCAAAAAAGAAAAAGUCCCAAAAUAGAGUACUGCUUAACAACGAAGAAACUCUCUUUUAUCAUGAAACGGCUGAUGAGAGAAAAACCAACCUGGUUUUCUACAGCACAAAAGUAGGAGAAUGGUUGGAUACAAUGAAAGGACAGUAUCCUAAUCUUCAUGAAACUCAACAAGAAAGGUCAAUCAAACUCAAGUCUUCCCGGGAAGGAACCAUAUUGUCUUAUCCUUCUGGAAAAGUUAUGGUACAUGGCGAUAGUCUAAUGCAGAGGUUUGAGAGAGAUUUUUCAGGGAUGAGAAUAAGUGUCCAAGAACGCAUCUUACCAGCAGAAGAGGCAAACACAGACGAAGCCAGAGGGCCCUCCCCAACUCAGCCCAUCCCAACUGAUCAGAUAAAAGAAAGGAUAAUAAAAAUUAAAAAAAUACAAAAAAAGGAAAGUAAAAUCAACUACACACUUUCCUCUGAUCUGUUAUAUGUUUCUCAUUUAAUGCAGAACGAAUCAUCACAAAAAUCAUCUGACUGUUUGAUUUUCACUCACGAUUUCUCCUGUAUUGUUUGUUUUAACAUUUCAUUUGGGAAGAAAAAUGAUUUUUCUGUAAAAUUAAAAAGACACU